UGACACACCUUGUUGAGCAAGGUGGAUCAAGACGUGGUAAAGCAGCCUAAGUGCCUCGUCUAUAAAAAAACCUCGUGAAUUGCUGGGAACUCUUUAAUGACUAGUUGGCUACAACGAAACCGGAAACGGUAAUCGUGAAUGCUUAAAAACAACAGUGGAUAAAGACAAUCAGCAGCCAAGCUCCUACGUCUUUGAAAAAAGAUAUGGAGAAGGUUCAACGACCAUCGAAAGCACACGAAUAGUGGAAGCGAGUAGAGUAGGGACCAAGUGGUUCCGAAGCGCGAGGGCACUCAAUAGAGUGUAAGAAAUGGUCUGAACUCUAGGGCGACCUAGAG
rnacentral:ncRNA from 1 species